CACUAAGAAGCUAAUACGGAAUAGCAACAGCCUUUUAAGCUGUAGACAGGUGACCUAAUCGCCCUUAGUGA
rnacentral:tRNA from 1 species